GCGCGCUUAUAGCCUCUACCCUUUGAGGAAUUAUUAGAUGCACUCGGUGCACAUACACCUUCUCUCACAAUCAUGUGGGAUCCAUUUCCUAUAUAAUAGGAAGCUUUCUGUGAGGGAGGGAGCACUAUUUUUUAGUGCACCGGGUGCACCUAAUAAUUAGCCCUACCCUUUUUAGCCCUCCUUUCUGUAACUGCACUCCCUUAACUAAUUUUAUUUUACAACAAUAAAGCUGGCCACAUUGCAGCUCACUCUGUCUUUAUGAAAAAGGAUAUCCACUCUAAAGUCUAAAGACCAAUUCUAAAGACUGAAGCACUCCUUGGCAGCAAUUAAUGAAUUCAGCAGCAGAAAUUGAUAAUAUUUUACUAAUAGCCAAUGCCAACAUAAUUGGAGCACUCCACAGUUGGAAGAAUAAAGAAUGAAAUCACAAAUAAUU
rnacentral:misc_RNA from 1 species